CCUACGGGUGGCAGCAGUGGGGAAUAUUGCGCAAUGGGGGCAACCCUGACGCAGCAACGCCGCGUGAUUGAAGAAGGCCUUCGGGUUGUAAAGAUCUUUAAUCAGGGACGAAAAAUGACGGUACCUGAAGAAUAAGCUCCGGCUAACUACGUGCCAGCAGCCGCGGUAAUACGUAGGGAGCAAGCGUUAUCCGGAUUUACUGGGUGUAAAGUGCGUGUAGGCGGGCUUGUAAGUCAGAAGUGAAAUCUGGGGGCUUAACCCCCAAACUGCUUUUGAAACUGCGGGUCUUGAGUGAUGGAGAGGCAGGCGGAAUUCCCAGUGGAGCGGUGAAAUGCGUAGAGAGUGGGAGGAACACCAGGGGCGAAGGCGGCCUGCUGGACUGAAACUGACGUUGAGGCUCGAAAGCGUGGGGAGCAAACAGGAUUAGAUACCCUUGUAGUC
rnacentral:rRNA from 1 species